GACGAACGCUGGCGGCGUGCCUAAUACAUGCAAGUCGAACGAACUCUGGUAUUGAUUGGUGCUUGCAUCAUGAUUUACAUUUGAGUGAGUGGCGAACUGGUGGGUAACACGUGGGAAACCUGCCCAGAAGCGGGGGAUGACACCUGGAAACAGAUGCUAAUACCGCAUAACAACUUGGACCGCAUGGUCCGAGCUUGAAAGAUGGCUUCGGCUAUCACUUUUGGAUGGUCCCGCGGCGUAUUAGCUAGAUGGUGGGGUAACGGCUCACCAUGGCAAUGAUACGUAGCCGACCUGAGAGGGUAAUCGGCCACAUUGGGACUGAGACACGGCCCAAACUCCUACGGGAGGCAGCAGUAGGGAAUCUUCCACAAUGGACGAAAGUCUGAUGGAGCAACGCCGCGUGAGUGAAGAAGGGUUUCGGCUCGUAAAACUCUGUUGUUAAAGAAGAACAUAUCUGAGAGUAACUGUUCAGGUAUUGACGGUAUUUAACCAGAAAGCCACGGCUAACUACGUGCCAGCCGCCGCGGUAA
rnacentral:rRNA from 1 species